GACGAACGCUGGCGGCGUGCCUAAUACAUGCAAGUAGAACGCAGUUGCGCACGGGUGAGUAACGCGUAGGUAACUGCCUCAUAGCGGGGGAUAACUUUUUGAAACGAUAGACAAUACCGCCUACUGUGACAUGGAUCUGCGUUGCAUUAGCUUGUUGGUGAGGUAAAGGGUCACCAAGGCGACGAUACAUAGCCGAACUGAGAGGGUGGACGGCCAAACUGGGACUGAGGCACGGCCCAGAAUCCUACGGGAGGCAGCAGUAGGGGAUCAUCGGAAAUUGAGGGAAGUCUGGCCGAGCAACGGCGCGUGAGUGAAGAAGGUUUUCGGAGCGUAAAGCUCUGUUGUUAGAGAAGCGGUAACUGAAGAGAAAGGGACGGCUAACUACGUGCCAGCAGCCGCGGUAAUAC
rnacentral:rRNA from 1 species